UGCAUGUGGGUGUGGGGGCUGGAUCUGUCUCCGGCCCAUCCCUGGCUGGAGCUGAGCCAGGAACUUGGCAGUUUCCAGGGCUGAGCCAUCCAGCUCACCCCAAGGAAGCCUCGGCCUCCAGCCAUGGCACUACCACGUGGUUUAAUCAUUAACUCCAAGUUCACAGGGCUGAAGCUGGAAUGCACAGGACCUGGGGAGCAGACCGGGUCUCCAGGGAGCUAAGAGAAAGUUGGCUUCCUAAAACCUGAGAUGAAAUGAGAAGUAAAUUGCCAAGGGAGAUCCUCUCCUGGGGCAAAUUUCCUGUCCUUGCUUAUGGGCACAGAGACCCUGAGUGGGAAGGCCAGUUGCAGGGCACUCUCCCAGAACCAGCCCUGGGGUGACAGGUGC
rnacentral:lncRNA from 1 species